CAGGCCUAACACAUGCAAGUCGAGCGGGGUUAAUUAGAAGCUUGCUUCUAAUCAACCUAGCGGCGGACGGGUGAGUAACACGUAGGCAACCUGCCCACAAGACAGGGAUAACUACCGGAAACGGUAGCUAAUACCCGAUACAUCCUUUUCCUGCAUGGGAGAAGGAGGAAAGACGGAGCAAUCUGUCACUUGUGGAUGGGCCUGCGGCGCAUUAGCUAGUUGGUGGGGUAAAGGCCUACCAAGGCGACGAUGCGUAGCCGACCUGAGAGGGUGAUCGGCCACACUGGGACUGAGACACGGCCCAGACUCCUACGGGAGGCAGCAGUAGGGAAUCUUCCGCAAUGGGCGAAAGCCUGACGGAGCAACGCCGCGUGAGUGAUGAAGGUUUUCGGAUCGUAAAGCUCUGUUGCCAGGGAAGAACG
rnacentral:rRNA from 1 species